AGCGAUUGGCCCACGUGGGGACUGAAUUCAGCAUCUUGGCCUUGUCAGCACCCUGCUCCAAGCACCUGAGCAACCUCAGGCUCAUGAGGAAGGAUUUACCCAACAGCUGUAAAGGUGCUCAUUCCAUGCCCCUUUCCAAGGAGAAAUGAGCAGGACAAGCCCUGAGGGAUCACUUGGUCCAUGGCCAGAGUUCUUCAGGAGAGUGUCAGGGCUGGUCCCACCUGCAGAGGGGCGUUUCCUGCAGGUGAGUGUUCACAGCCCAAAAUCCCUGCUGGGGCUGGGGCCACUUUCCUGGCCCGGAGCUGCACGGAGCCCUUGGUGACUCCCACUCCCAGGUGGGAAUGUUCCUUGGUGUUUCCUCAGUGGUCCCAGCUGGCUGGGAAUGCGGGGCAGGAGGAGGCCGGGAGCCCAGGAAGGGACCCAGCACCUCCUGCCCUCGGUGUUUGCGGGGAGGAGCUGUGCCUCAGUGUCCCGCCACACCCGCAUCCCGGGGAUGGGCAGCGCUGGGAUGGACGUGGAUCGAGGGCUGCCCGCGGCUCCUCGGCCGGGGGCUGCUCUGACGGGCUCCGGAGCUGCUUCAGCCCGGACAGGCCCCGCCCGCAGCCCAGAAUUACCGAGGAACAGCUGGAACAUCUGGCCUUACCUGGGAAUGUCAGCGCGGUGCGUUUGAGGAGGGGCUCAGGCAGCAAUUCCCGGUGCCGACCUCCCGGAGCUCCUGCAUACCCCCAGGUGUGUCCCAGCCCCCCAAACCCCUUCCCUCCCAGCCUGGGGCCAUCAUCCCUCAGCAGCGUUAAAGCCAAGGGGAUCUUCCCCCCAGAAAUGAAACCCCAAGCAAUGCCCUCAGGGAGGCCUGUAAAUAAAAGGUUAGAGUCAGGUGAAGUUUUGUUUGGAUGAAGUUUGGAGUGUUCUAGGGAGCCAGCUGGAACCACAGAACUGAUGGAAAACUUUCACAGGUGGGUCCCACUGGAGGUGUGCUGGAAGCAGGGAUGUGCAUCCCUUUCCUGAGGGAAAAGAACCUGCAGAGGCACUCCUGAGGCUCUGAGAUGGAGUCAGCUCCUGCAGGGAGAGAUGUCCUCCCCUGGGCACAGGGGCUGCCUCAGCACGGGCCAGGAGCCAUCACCUUCUCCUGCUUUAAAAUUUCAACUGGAGCCCGAGCUCAGGGGGAUGAAAUCAGCUGAAUUCCAGGGAACUCUGUCAAGUGUCCCCCAGGGACAUCAGUGGGGCUGGGGGAUGAGGGUUAUAAAUAACAAAUUCUAUGGAAUACAAACCUGUCCUUGUCCUGGAACCUCUGCUGGUUCCUGCCACAGCUGCUGUUCAACGGCAGCUCUACAUGGGAAUGUCCAGACUCCACAAGGCACUGUUGGGUUAUUCCAGCAGGAAUUCAGCAGGGAAUUUGGGGCUGUGGGUAUAAUUCAUCUGAAACAGAAAAGCUGAUACUGACCCUGAGAUCUGGGUGCCACACCGAGAACAAUCCCUGUGCUGCCCUGUCAGCUAAAGCCCCUGGGCUGGGAAAUUCCAGCAGCCAAAUGCAUGGAAUGAUGGAAAUCCCAACAUCCCCCAGAGGGACAAUCCAAGCCCCAGGGUCCUUCCCCUGCUGCUGGCAGGACAAAUUCCCCUCGGCUCGGCGGGGCUUGGGAGCAGGAGGGGCGGGAGAGCAGCUCGGCUGCCCGGGAAGCGCCGGGACACGAGGCUGCUGGAAUCUCCUGAGUCACUGCAAACAUUCCCUGUAAAGCCAAGGCAGAUCUCUCCUAGCCAGCCUGGUGGGCAGCAGCUCUGGGGGAAAACACCCUGGCCCUGCCAGGAGCUCUGACUCUGCUUUUCCUGCCAGCUCCUGAGCAGUGUCAGGGCCACUGGGAAGGGAGCUCAAAUCCAAACAAAUCCCAUCGCCCAUGGAGUGGAUGAUCCUGACAGAGAAAUGAAGAUCUUAAAGAUCUGUUAAAAAGGCUGUGACAACACUGUGAUGGGAUUCCCAGGAUCCUUCUGAGAGAAGAACAUGAACUCACAACCAUCAAGGCCUGACAGUUCCCUGCAGUGAGAGCUCAGCACACAUGUCCACAGAGGCAAGUCCAGAAUCUGAAAGAAAGAAAGAAGAAGAAAAAGGCCCUGCUUGUGAGUCAUUCCAUGCUUUGCCAUUGGGACUUGGGACAAAGGAGGGGAAGGAUCUGUUCCACAUGGGUGUCAUCCAACAAGGAACAUCCCCUUUGCCAACCCCAGCCUGGAGACAGGAAAUUGUCCAGGUCAGGGUGUAAGACCUUAAACUGCACAUUGAUCUGGGGGGCUGUGACUGGGAUUCCAGCAGGGAAUUCAUUGUUCUACAAAUAUAAACUAUUCCAGGGAGCAGCACUAACAAGGUUGGGAGCUGCUGCUUCACCACCACGGUGUCAGCAAAGAGAGAAAACACAAAAUACGUGUCCAAAACAAGGAUAAAAUGAUUCCUCCUGCUUUUAGUGGGACCAGAACUUACUCUGCCCUGGAAUGACAAAGAACCCCCUCAGACCCCCAGAGAUGCCAGAGGGAGGGAAGACACCUCUGCCUCAUCUGCUGGGGACAGCAUGGGCCCUGCUGUCCCCAGGAACUGGGAAUAUGUCCAGAGCCAAAAGCACCUUCCCAGGCUGGAGGGGCUUUCCUAAAGCACCACCCCUGGGAAGCAAAGGGCUAUGGAAGAAAGAGUGGGAAUUCACAAUACUAAUCAUAAUGAUAUUGUGAUAGAGCAGCAAUGGAAGCAACAGUAAUUCCAAGGGAGCAGGAGGGAUGCUGGGCUUUAAAUGGGGUUUGAGUGAGACAGCAUCUCCUGGGAGUUCUAAAGCACAGCUCCAGGUCUGGGAUCACAGGAGUGGUGCAAACUCCUAUUGCCCAAUCCCUGGAUUUGCCUCCUGCCAGUACUUAGUACCUUGGUCAUGUUUGGAUGCAAGUACUCCAGUUCUGCUGCCUCAAGGGAUUGGGAAAAUGGGCAUUAAACCCCUUCCCUCAGGGCUGGCUCUGAGCUCUGGCUGGGGAAAGCAUUUGGCAGCCCUGGCAUUUCAAUGAAAUCAGUUUCCAUCAUUUCCUGAAUAAACCCAAGGCAGAAAAAUAAACCUUUCUCCAUAGGGACAGCCCCAGGGAAUACACAAUCAUUCCUAUUCCUGGUCAAAGAAACCAGCAGCCACUUUAGGGGAGAGACUCCAAACUCUUGUCUCUCUCCCUGUCUGUAAAACACUUGCAGAGGCUUUAGAGCUCAUACAAGCUUGUCAGGAUUUGGAUACUCCAUUUAAAUUCCAUUCAUAUGCUACAGAAUAGGAAGUGUCCUAAAGGCACCUCCACUCAUUCUUGAAUUUUAAGUAUGAGUGGAGGUGCCUUUAGGACCAAUGAAUUUGGAUAUUCUUUUGUUAGGAACACCCACCUCAGCUUCUUUAGGCAACUCCAUGUGGGAGAUAAAAUAAAUGUGGACAAAAGUUUGGAAUGCAACUUCCAAGUCAAGUUCCCUGCUAGGAAAUGACUCCAGCUCUCUGCUACCUCAGGCUGUUUAACCACAGCCUGGCCCUUCAGGGCUGCAGACCCUCAGCUACACAAUUUGGGAGCUGGCAAGUAACAGCAGCUGAGGUCUCAUUCCAGCUGUACCCAAGAACAGGGGCUGCAUUUGGAUAAGUGCAGACAGGUUUGGGCUACUUCAGAAAGCUUCAACCCCUGUUUUUCAGAGAUUCCAUCAGGGAUAAUGACCUUUAUACAAAUCUCUUCAAGGCACAUGAGAACCUGAGUAAGAAAAUGAACUCAACCCCUUUGUUCCAUUGGCCCCACACCCCAAAUUCCAAUGGGACAGACAAGUUCCUCUCCUUGAAAGGCAACAUCUCCUACCUGGCUCUGUGCCUUCCCCAGCCUUUGGUGGCUGCUGUCUCCAU